GACAGAGGGUGCAAACGUUGUUCGGAAUUACUGGGCGUAAAGCGAGUGUAGGCGGUCCGAUAAGUCGGGUGUGAAAGCCCUGGGCUCAACCCAGGAAGUGCACUCGAAACUGCCGGGCUAGAGUAUCGGAGAGGUUGGUGGAAUUCUCGGUGUAGAGGUGAAAUGCGUAGAUAUCGUGAGGAAGACCAGUGGCGAAGGCGAAUCGCUGGACAGAGCCUGACGCUGAGGCACGAGGGCCAGGGGAGCAAACGGG
rnacentral:rRNA from 1 species